rnacentral:rRNA from 1 species
CAGUUGUUCCGCCAGGAGCACCGCUGGGUAGCUAUGUACGGAAGGGAUAAGCGCUGAAAGCAUCUAAGCGUGAAGCCCCCCUCAAGAUGAGAUUUCCCAGUAUGUAAGACCCCUUGAAGACGACGAGGUAGAUAGGUUGGGGGUGGAAGUGCAGUAAUGCAUGGAGCUGACCAAUACUAAUCGGUCGAGGGCUUAUCCUA